AGUUAUAUCACUUAUGCAGAAGACCCUUCAAGAAAAGUCUUCCCUGACACUGCUAUAAAUGCCCACAGCUUCAUUCUGAUCACAUUCAGGUCUCUGCAGCACCUUCCUCCUACAUAAAUGGGAAGAUGGAUUCUUGCUUGUUUUCCUGUGGUCACCCAAGCAAUCAAGGGACCCAUCUAAGUGACAGCUAAGGUUAACUGUCUGGACAGCUGUGAGUCAAGCCUUCAAGACAUGCUGCUUUAUCUGAUUGGUCUCAGUCUUGAUCUGGCACAUGAAAGGAAAUGUGAGGAAGUUUCAUGCAGAGACCGUUUUGCAAGUCCAAAGAUGAGGGUCUUUGUUUCACCUCUGGAGGAAGAUGGAAAUCCAUGCAGGAAAAAAUCCACCAAGGGUUACUUAACAAAAAGACAUCUGACUUGAUGUCCCUGAGCCAGAAACUGCUGGAAGAGAAGACACCUGGGAAAGUAUCACUUAUCCUCCUAUUACGGUCUUCUGCAUUUAUCUUCUAUCACACAGGAUAACUUGGCUUAACCUAGUACAGCUGUUUUUAUGUCUUGCACUCAAAUAUAUAUAGAUGUAUUGACACAUAGUAGAUACUUACAUGUCCGUUUUAGGGCAUGUGGUAUAGUUUUUCCUAAAUCCCCUGUAGAGCCAAUGGGGAGAAAAAUAUUCCUGCAGAAGGUGUUUCAGAGAAAAAGCCUAGCUUGGGUUCUCUUUCUCCAGGUAAUCCUCUAUCCACUGAUGGCAAAGGGAGAUAAAACAGCUGAGCUAGCUAAUACAGGCCACAUAAGUGCUGAGUGGUUUCUCCUGACCCUGGU